AACGAACGCUGGCGGCGUGCUAACACAUGCAAGUCGAACGCGAAAGGGACUUCGGUCCUGAGUAAAGUGGCGCACGGGUGAGUAACGCGUAGAUAACCUGUCUUCAUGUCUGGAAUAAUACGCCAAAGGGGUACUAAUACCGGAUAUUCUUGCUUUUCAUAAGUUAUGCAAGCAAAGGUGGCCUCUGCAUAUGCUACUGCAUGAAGAGGGGUCUGCGUACCAUUAGCUAGUAGGUGGGGUAAUGGCCUACCUAGGCGACGAUGGUUAGCGGGUCUGAGAGGAUGAUCCGCCACACUGGCACUGGAACACGGGCCAGACUCCUACGGGAGGCAGCAGUGAGGAAUAUUGCGCAAUGGGGGAAACCCUGACGCAGCGACGCCGCGUGAGUGAGGAAAAGGCCUUCGGGUCGUAAAGCUCUGUCAAGAGGAAAGAAGUGUACAAUGGCUAAUACCUGUUGUAUUUGACGGUACCUCUAAAGGAAGCACCGGCUAACUCCGUGCCAGCAGCAGC
rnacentral:rRNA from 1 species